rnacentral:rRNA from 1 species
GACGAACGCUGGCGGCGUGCUUAACACAUGCAAGUCGAACGAUGAACCCGGAGCUUGCUCCGGUGGAUUAGUGGCGAACGGGUGAGUAACACAUGAGUAACCUGCCCUUGACUCUGGGAUAACUGCGGGAAACUGUAGCUAAUACCGGAUACGACCCUCGGCGGCAUCGCCAGGGGGUGGAAAGAAUGUCGGUCAAGGAUGGACUCGCAGCCUAUCAGCUAGUUGGUGAGGUCACGGCUCACCAAGGCGACGACGGGUAGCCGGCCUGAGAGGGUGAGCGGCCACACUGGGACUGAGACACGGCCCAGCAUCCUACGGGAGGCAGCGGUGGGGAAUAUUGCACAAUGGGCGCAAGCCUGAUGCAGCAACGCCGCGUGAGGGAUGACGGCCUUCGGGUUGUAAACCUCUUUUAGUAGGGAAGAAGCGAAAGUGACGGUACCUGCAGAAAAAGCACCGGCUAACUACGUGCCAGCCGCCGCCGUAA